GACGAACGCUGGCGGCGUGCUUAACACAUGCAAGUCGAACGGAAAGGCCCUGCUUUUGUGGGGUGCUCGAGUGGCGAACGGGUGAGUAACACGUGAGUAACCUGCCCUUGACUUUGGGAUAACUUCAGGAAACUGGGGCUAAUACCGGAUAGGAGCUCCUGCUUCAUGGUGGGGGUUGGAAAGUUUCGGCGGUUGGGGAUGGACUCGCGGCUUAUCAGCUUGUUGGUGGGGUAGUGGCUUACCAAGGCUUUGACGGGUAGCCGGCCUGAGAGGGUGACCGGCCACAUUGGGACUGAGAUACGGCCCAGACUCCUACGGGAGGCAGAAGUGGGGAAUAUGGCACAGUGGGCGGAAGCAUGAUGCAGAAACGCCGCGUGAGGGAUAACGGCCUUCGGGUUGUAAACCGCCUUCGCCUGUGACGAAGCGUGAGUGACGGUAAAGGGUAAAGAAGCACCGGAUAAAUACGUG
rnacentral:rRNA from 1 species